rnacentral:rRNA from 1 species
GUUUGUAACACCCGAAGUCGGUGGGGUAACCUUUUUGGAGCCAGCCGCCUAAGGUGGGACAGAUGAUUGGGGUGAAGUCGUAACAAGGUAGCCGUAUCGGAAGGUGCGGCUGGAUCACCUCCUUUCUAUGGAGA